UCAACAAACAAAGCAUAAAUAUGCAAAUAUACAAAUAUGAAUUAUUUAAAUAAAUAAAUGCAAAUGCAAUAAAUGCAAGAGAGAAACCAGAAAAUGAGACAGUGCCAUAUAAAGAUACUUAGAAAUUGAUAAUUCAAAUAAUUUUACAACAGACAAAACAAUAACACACGUAAUAAUACAAUUGGUAAUUCGAUGAAAUAAUAUAUUAAAGAAAUAUAUUCACAAAAUAUAAAUAUUCACAUCAACAAUUUAAAAAAAUGUGUUAAAAAAAUUGUGUUUACAAAGACUGUUAGAACAUUACUAACGUUUUAUCUCCACAGCAAGGAAUUCCGCAAGACGAUUAAUAUGAUUUUCUUAUCUCAAUUGGAAACGGAAAAUAGCAGUAACUUGGAAACAAUGAAAAAACUGAUUUAGUGUAGAAAAAUUAAGUCGAAAAAUUAAAUUGAUAACAUAGUAGGCCUUGCAUCGAGUCGAAUAGUAAGUAAGUUUUCCGACAUUAAAAUUAUUUAGUUCACUUGUGCACCGAGCUCAAGCCAAUAAAAAAUACCAGGUAACGGGUGAGUAAGUCAUAAAAAAAUGCUCUUGUUUAAAAUAACAUUUACAGUGAGAUUAAUUUGCUAAUAAAUAAUUUAAAUUCGUAGGCAGUAUGGAAAAUAUAAAUGAAACAUUGCAAGGGUUAAGCGCGGCAAUAACGGUGUUAGCCGAUCAAUUUUCAAGUCUAAAAGGAGAAUUGAAGCAAUUGAAUAAUAAAGUGGAUAAAUUGGAAAAUAAGGAUACUAAUAAGUCUUUAUUAAUAGAAGAACAACAAAUCUCACUGGCCCGUCCACGUUCGGAGCUUGAAUUAAAUGAAAUUUCGUCAUUGCCGGACUGUGGCCUUAAACAAGCGAACAAUGAGUCGUAGUAUUGUCCGCAUUAAUAGAAUCAUAUAGAGAUAGAGCUUUAGAUGUUUUCAUAAGGGGACUAAACGGGACUAUGUCUCGUGGAAUUAAUGAUUAUCAACAAAACAAAAACUGGAAAAAUUCUUCAUAAAUCAGAUUUAAGAAAAUAGGAAAAAAAGGAAAAUGCACAUUUAAUUAUAUUCUUCCUUAACUUCUUUAGCACCCAUAGCAUCCACAGCAUUUUACACGUGGUAUAUCCCUCCUAGUUUCGAUCAUUCAUGGCAAUAGGGAUUUCCGAGAUGCCAGACGGAAUGAAAUAAAUGCGCUUACAAUGUUGGAUGUUUGUCAUAACAACAAAUGAAUACUAAAUGUAUGGAACUAUGAAUGCUUUGAAUUAACUUGAAGGUGGAUAUCGAUGGCCCUCUUUAUGCUAAUUUAUGGACUCUGGAUAAUAAAUUUAUAUUGGAUAAUUAUCAUUA